rfam:Salmo salar isolate Sally breed double haploid chromosome ssa01, whole genome shotgun sequence.
CAUAGUCCAAUUUGUAAGUCGCUCUGGAUAAGAGCGUCUGCUAAAUGACGUAAA